ACGCUCGACACCUACGGGAGGCAGCAGUGGGGAAUAUUGCACAAUGGGGGAAACCCUGAUGCAGCGAUGCCGCGUGAAGGAAGAAGUAUCUCGGUAUGUAAACUUCUAUCAGCAGGGAANAAAUGACGGUACCUGACUAAGAAGCCCCGGCUAACUACGUGCCAGUAGCCGCGGUAAUCUGAGCGGGCUGGCAAGGC
rnacentral:rRNA from 1 species